GAUGAACGCUGGCGGCGUGCCUAACACAUGCAAGUCGAACGGAGUUAUGAUGUGAGCGGGAAGUGCUUGCACUAAACAAUCUUUUCAUAACUUAGUGGCGGACGGGUGAGUAACGCGUGGGUAACCUGCCCUGUACUGGGGGACAACAGUUGGAAACGACUGCUAAUACCGCAUAAGCGCACGGGAUCGCAUGAUCGUGUGUGAAAAACUCCGGUGGUACAGGAUGGACCCGCGUCUGAUUAGCUGGUUGGUGAGGUAACGGCCCACCAAGGCAACGAUCAGUAGCCGGCCUGAGAGGGUGAACGGCCACAUUGGGACUGAGACACGGCCCAAACUCCUACGGGAGGCAGCAGUGGGGAAUAUUGCACAAUGGGGGAAACCCUGAUGCAGCGACGCCGCGUGAGUGAAGAAGUAUUUCGGUAUGUAAAGCUCUAUCAGCAGGGAAGAA
rnacentral:rRNA from 1 species